rnacentral:rRNA from 1 species
GAUGAACGCUGGCGGCGUGCCUAAUACAUGCAAGUCGAGCGAACAGACGAGGAGCUUGCUCCUCUGACGUUAGCGGCGGACGGGUGAGUAACACGUGGAUAACCUACCUAUAAGACUGGGAUAACUUCGGGAAACCGGAGCUAAUACCGGAUAAUAUAUUGAACCGCAUGGUCCAAUAGUGAAAGACGGUUUUGCUGUCACUUAUAGAUGGAUCCGCGCCGCAUUAGCUAGUUGGUAAGGUAACGGCUUACCAAGGCAACGAUGCGUAGCCGACCUGAGAGGGUGAUCGGCCACACUGGAACUGAGACACGGUCCAGACUCCUACGGGAGGCAGCAGUAGGGAAUCUUCCGCAAUGGGCGAAAGCCUGACGGAGCAACGCCGCGUGAGUGAUGAAGGUCUUCGGAUCGUAAAACUCUGUUAUUAGGGAAGAACAAAUGUGUAAGUAACUAUGCACGUCUUGACGGUACCUAAUCAGAAAGCAACGGCUAACUACGUG